UGCAGUCGAGCGAACGGAUAAGGAGCUUGCUCCUUUGAAGUUAGCGGCGGACGGGUGAGUAACACGUGGGUAACCUACCUAUAAGACUGGGAUAACUUCGGGAAACCGGAGCUAAUACCGGAUAACAUUUAGAACCGCAUGGUUCUAAAGUGAAAGAUGGUUUUGCUAUCACUUAUAGAUGGACCCGCGCCGUAUUAGCUAGUUGGUAAGGUAACGGCUUACCAAGGCGACGAUACGUAGCCGACCUGAGAGGGUGAUCGGCCACACUGGAACUGAGACACGGUCCAGACUCCUACGGGAGGCAGCAGUAGGGAAUCUUCCGCAAUGGGCGAAAGCCUGACGGAGCAACGCCGCGUGAGUGAUGAAGGGUUUCGGCUCGUAAAACUCUGUUAUUAGGGAAGAACAAAUGUGUAAGUAACUGUGCACAUCUUGACGGUACCUAAUCAGAAAGCCACGGCUAACUACGUGCCAGCAGCCGCGGUAAUACGUAGGUGGCAAGCGUUAUCCGGAAUUAUUGGGCGUAAAGCGCGCGUAGGCGGUUUCUUAAGUCUGAUGUGAAAGCCCACGGCUCAACCGUGGAGGGUCAUUGGAAACUGGGAAACUUGAGUGCAGAAGAGGAAAGUGGAAUUCCAUGUGUAGCGGUGAAAUGCGCAGAGAUAUGGAGGAACACCAGUGGCGAAGGCGACUUUCUGGUCUGUAACUGACGCUGAUGUGCGAAAGCGUGGGGAUCAAACAGGAUUAGAUACCCUGGUAGUCCACGCCGUAAACGAUGAGUGCUAAGUG
rnacentral:rRNA from 2 species